AGAAGAAAUGCUUUACUAUUGUGCCAAAGAAUUCUUUUCUUAAAAUACCUGAGAUAACACGUUUGUGGCCUUGUAAUUUGCAUCAUUAGGACCAGAUAAAAUCUUGUCUGACGUGUUCUCCACUGGAAAUUGUUUAGGCCUUUUCUUGAGGUUGCUACAAACUGGAUUCAUCAUCCGCUAAGAACUUGGAAUCAGUAAGACCUUUGGGCUUCUUUUCUGAAACUAGAUGUUUCCGUUCGCGUAGGUGCAUGGAGGAUCGGUGCUUAGAGAUCAUAGAAUAAAUGAAAUCUCAUGUAAAUUGUUAGGGAGGACCAAUACUGAUAGAAAUCACCUAUUGUCAUUCACUGCACCAGCAGCUCUAGGAAACAACAAACGCAAGCUGUACCAGAUCAUGAUGGAGGAAGACUGAAAAGCAAACGUGCCGUCAUCUUCGACUCAAAAGUAACUCUAGUCAGUCUUCAUUACUCCGGA